UGGUAGCGUAUGAUCUUGUUGUUGCUGUUAAAAAGCUCGUAGUUGGAUUCUCGACUGGGGAUAGCUAGGGCGGAGCGGUUCUCGCAAGAGGCCAAUCCGUUUAUCAUUACGACCCUAGCGUUUUAUUAUCGCCCAGUCAGUCCAGUCCGGCGAAUGGUCACCGAUCUGAGAGGGGCCCUUAAUUGGGUCGCUCGAUGAGCCCUUCACUAACACAACACGUGAAGCAAUGGUGCGCGCCGGUACGCUACCGUGAAUAAAACAGCGCGUUCAUAGCAGUCAGUCCUUCCCAGGUGCUUGACUGAAUGAUCCAGCAUGGUACAGCAAAGAAUCGACUCAAGGGGUCACAUGUCUUGUGCACUCUUAGGUCCUCUUUUUGAGGCAACUCUUGCAGGGAGUUUCUUCUGUUGGGGGCUCCGGCUAUCACUGUUGGAGACAUGUGGCCUUCGGGUCGCCUCUGGA
rnacentral:rRNA from 1 species